AUUUAAAUAGCUUAAGAAGAGCAUAACAUUGAAGCUGUUAGGGUGAUAGAUUAUCUUUAAAUA
rnacentral:tRNA from 1 species